rnacentral:rRNA from 1 species
GAUGAACGCUGACAGAAUGCUUAACACAUGCAAGUCAACUGUGGCGGACGGGUGAGUAACGCGUAAAGAACUUGCCUCACAGAUAGGGAUAACAUUUGGAAACGAAUGCUAAUUCCUGAUACUGUGAGAGAGCUUUGCGUCCCAUUAGCUAGUUGGAGAGGUAACGGCUCACCAAGGCGAUGAUGGGUAGCCGGCCUGAGAGGGUGAUCGGCCACAAGGGGACUGAGAAACGGCCCUUACUCCUACGGGAGGCAGCAGUGGGGAAUAGUGGACAAUGGACCAAAGUCUGAUCCAGCAAUUCUGUGUGCACGAUGAAGUUGGCGGGAUGUAAAGUGCUUUCAGUUGGGAAGCGGUACCAACAGAAGAAGUGACGGCUAAAUACGUGCCAGCAGCCGCGGUAAUUC